GGGUCAGUAGGUUGGUCGUGCCACCGGUACGUACUGGUCUCACUGAUUCCUCCUUCCUGAAGAACCGUAAUGCCAUUAAUUUGGUGUUGCGGGAAAACAGGACUGUUACUUUGAAAAAAUUAGAGUGUUUAAAGCAAGCUAACGCUUGAAUACAUCAGCAUGGAAUAAUGAAAUAGGACGAUCGAUCCUAUUUUGUUGGUUUCUAGGAUUGACGUA
rnacentral:rRNA from 1 species